GGCACGAAGCCUUGCUAAAUUACAUUCUGUCGGCAGAGACUGGGAUCGAAGUGGCGCAGACAAACUUGGCACAUCUCUGCGAAGAGAGGCCAGAUGUGGCAAAAAGAUACUUGGCAACGGACUGCGUUUGGAGAUAUUAUAAUUUUUCAGUUUCACAGAACAACGCUCCUUCGUUUGCUUAUUUAAAAGUAGGAGAUUUCUACUACUACGGAUAUCAGAA